GCUGGACGUAUCACAAGUGCGAAUGCUGACAUAAGUAACGAUAAAACGGGUGAAAAACCCGUUCGCCGGAAGACCAAGGGUUCCUGUCCAACGUUAAUCGGGGCAGGGUGAGUCGGCUCCUAAGGCGAGGCUGAAAAGCGUAGUCGAUGGGAAACAGGUUAAUAUUCCUGUACUUGGUAAAGCUGCGAUGUGGGGACGGAGUAGGUUAGGUUAUCGCACUGUUGGAUAUGUGCGUUUAAGUUGGUAGGUGGGAAGUUUAGGCAAAUCCGGACUUCCUUAACACAGAGAGAUGAUGACGAGGCUCUACGGAGCUGAAGUAACUGAUACCACACUUCCAGGAAAAGCCACUAAGCGAAAGGCUUUACUAAACCGUACUGAAAACCGACACAGGUGGUCAGGUAGAGAAUACUCAGGCGCUUGAGAGAACUCGGGUGAAGGAACUAGGCAAAAUAGCACCGUAACUUCGGGAGAAGGUGCGCCGGCGUAGAUUGUAGUCCCUAGCGGGCGAAGGUUGAACCGGUCGAAGAUACCAGCUGGCUGCAACUGUUUAUUAAAAACACAGCACUCUGCAAACACGAAAGUGGACGUAUAGGGUGUGAUGCCUGCCCGGUGCUGGAAGGUUAAUUGAUGGUGUCAUCGCAAGAGAAGCACCUGAUCGAAGCCCCAGUAAACGGCGGCCGUAACUAUAACGGUCCUAAGGUAGCGAAAUUCCUUGUCGGGUAAGUUCCGACCUGCACGAAUGGCAUAAUGAUGGCCAGGCUGUCUCCACCCGAGACUCAGUGAAAUUGAAAUCGCCGUGAAGAUGCGGUGUACCCGCGGCUAGACGGAAAGACCCCGUGAACCUUUACUAUAGCUUGACACUGAACAUUGAAUUUUGAUGUGUAGGAUAGGUGGGAGCCUUUGAAGCAGUGACGCCAGUCAUUGUGGAGGCGACCUUGAAAUACCACCCUUUAACGUUUGAUGUUCUAACGAAGAUGACGAAACGUGGUCUCGGACAGUGUCUGGUGGGUAGUUUGACUGGGGCGGUCUCCUCCCAAAGCGUAACGGAGGAGCACGAAGGUUUGCUAAUCACGGUCGGACAUCGUGAGGUUAGUGCAAUGGUAUAAGCAAGCUUAACUGCGAGACAGACAAGUCGAGCAGGUACGAAAGUAGGUCAUAGUGAUCCGGUGGUUCUGAAUGGAAGGGCCAUCGCUCAACGGAUAAAAGGUACUCCGGGGAUAACAGGCUGAUACCGCCCAAGAGUUCAUAUCGACGGCGGUGUUUGGCACCUCGAUGUCGGCUCAUCACAUCCUGGGGCUGAAGUAGGUCCCAAGGGUAUGGCUGUUCGCCAUUUAAAGUGGUACGCGAGCUGGGUUUAGAACGUCGUGAGACAGUUCGGUCCCUAUCUGCCGUGGGCGU
rnacentral:rRNA from 1 species